rnacentral:lncRNA from 1 species
GGGAGGGUGGGGGGUGUAUGAAAGGUGAGGGAUGAGGGGAGGCUGCGGGAUGGAGGGAGGGUGGGGGAUGGAUGGAAGAUGCGGGUUAGAUGGAGUGUUUGGGAUGGAGGGAGGGUGGGGGAUGAAUGGAAAGUAUGAGAUGGAGGGAGGCUGUGGGAUGGAUGGAGGGUUUGGGGUGGAUGGAGGGUGUGGGAUGGAUGGAGGGUGAGGGAUGAAUGGAGGGUGGGGGCUGGGGGAGGGUGCAGGAUGGAUGGAGGGUGAAGGAUGGAUGGAGGGUGAGGGAUGGAGGGAGAGUGUGGGAUGGUGGGAGGCUGCCCAAUGGAGGGAGGAUGCUGGAUGGAUGGAGUGUUUGGGAUGGAUGGAGGAUGCGGGAUGGAUGGAAGGUGUGGGCUCUCGCAGGCUGAUAGGAGGGAAGCUAAUUUGCCUGAGCCUUUCUUCCACAGGACAGAGGGUGCAACAGGGCAUGUGGCCUCCCUGGGCACAACUUGCAGUGAGAAACCUCUGUUCCAAUCCUGAAAAACAUGGUCCCCCUCAUCCCUUAGGG